rnacentral:lncRNA from 1 species
ACGUAUUUAUAUAUAUAAUAUACGUCAUUUUAUUUGUACAGGCCUCAAAAAUUGAUGAAAAAUUUCUUCAUUGGCCACAAAGGGAAAUAACAAAUGACUCAAAAAUAACCCUAACACUAUCUAUUUAUAUUAGUCCACAAAGGGAUAUAACAAAUGACCAUCCUAUCAUUGCCAAGGGGUGGCCGUGGAGUGUAAGUUUAUUACCUUUCAAGGCUCCUCUUCACACUUAAAAACAUUUAAUCCAUUGGAAGGCUCAAGUACCAACUCACACACGGACAUUUGCAUGAACAUAGUUUGGAGUUUUUGUAACUCCCGAGCUUGGCUACGUGUGAAUGGUCAUGAACUUGUUGGACAGCUUGUAGAACAUGUUGGACAGCUUGG